GAUUAAGCUAUAAAGAGCGUAG
rnacentral:rRNA from 1 species